UAGUCAUAUGCUUGUCUCAAAGAUUAAGCCAUGCAUGCCUAAGUACAGACUGUAGCUAAAGUGAAACUGCGAAUGGCUCAUUAAAUCAGCUAUUACUUAUCGGGUGCACAGUUCUUCCUACUUGGAUAACUGUGGUAAUUCUAGAGCUAAUACACGCCCUGGUUAACUGGCUCGCAAGGGCCGGUUGCAAUUAUUAGACCAAAAUCAGCCCGGGAAACCGGUUUGUACUUGGUGACUCUGGAUAAUUUACUAGACCGUACGGCUUUCACGUCGACGGCUCACCCGAUAUGUGUCUGCCCUAUCAACUAGAUGGUAGCUUAAGAUGCUACGAUGGUGAUAACGGGUAACGGGGAAUCAGGGUUCGAUUCCGGAGAAGGAGCCUGAGAAAUAGCUACUACAUCCAAGGAAGGCAGCAGGCGCGCAAAUUACCCACUCCUGACACAGGGAGGUAGUGACAAUAAAUAACGAUGCGGGACUCAAUCGAGGCCCCGUAAUCGGAAUGAGUACACUUCAAAUCCUUUAACGAGGAUCAAUU
rnacentral:rRNA from 1 species